GGCUUCUUAAUUCAGUUGGUAAAGUGCGUCACUAGUAGUGACGAGGUUCGUCGUUCAAAUCGACUGAAAGAUA